rnacentral:rRNA from 1 species
UACGAAGGGGGCUAGCGUUGCUCGGAAUCACUGGGCGUAAAGGGUGCGUAGGCGGCCCUGUAAGUAUGGUGUGAAAUCUCCCGGCUUAACUGGGAGGGUGCGCUAUAGACUGCGGGGCUCGAGUGUGGGAGAGGAAAGUGGAAUUCCUGGUGUAGCGGUGAAAUGCGUAGAUAUCAGGAGGAACACCGGUGGUGUAAACGGCUUUCUGGACCAUAACUGACGCUGAGGCACGAAAGCGUGGGUAGCAAACAGG